CAGCAGCCGCGGUAAUACGAGGGGGGCAAGCGUUGUUCGGAAUUAUUGGGCGUAAAGGGCGCGUAGGCGGUUUGGCAAGUUUGGUGUGAAAUCUUCGGGCUCAACUCGAAGUCUGCAUCGAAAACUGCCGGGCUUGAGUAUGGGAGAGGUGAGUGGAAUUUCCGGUGUAGCGGUGAAAUGCGUAGAUAUCGGAAGGAACACCUGUGGCGAAAGCGGCUCACUGGACCAUAACUGACGCUGAGGCGCGAAAGCUAGGGGAGCAAACAGGAUUAGAUACCCCUGUAGUCCCUGUCUCUUAUAA
rnacentral:rRNA from 1 species